rnacentral:rRNA from 1 species
GACGAACGCUGGCGGCGUGCCUAAUACAUGCAAGUCGAGCGGAUGGAAGGAAGCUUGCUUCCUAAAGUCAGCGGCGGACGGGUGAGUAACACGUAAAGAACCUGCCCAUAGGUCUGGGAUAACCACGAGAAAUCGGGGCUAAUACCGGAUGUGUCAUCGGACCGCAUGGUCCGCUGAUGAAAGGCGCUCCGGCGUCGCCCAUGGAUGGCUUUGCGGUGCAUUAGCUAGUUGGUGGGGUAACGGCCCACCAAGGCGACGAUGCAUAGCCGACCUGAGAGGGUGAUCGGCCACACUGGGACCGCGACACGGCCCAGACUCCUACGGGAGGCAGCAGUAGGGAAUCUUCCACAAUGGACGAAAGUCUGAUGGAGCAACGCCGCGUGAACGAUGAAGGCUUUCGGGUCGUAAAGUUCUGUUGUAAGGGAAGAACAAGUGCCGCAGGCAAUGGCGGCACCUUGACGGUACCUUGCGAGAAAGCCACGGCUAACUACGUGCCAGCAGCCGCGGUAAGAC